CCAAGUGUCACCAGUGACCCCUCGUCUCCACAUCCCGGAGCGCUCUGUCUCCGGCUUUGUUCGUGCUGGCCUGGACAUAGCACUGCGCCUUUCCAUCUGUGACUGCUCCCGCUCACUCCUGCAGCCCUGCUGAGCACUUCCGCUUCUCUUGUGCAUCCUCUUGACAGAAAGGGCUUUCCCUGGGUGUGUUUUGCUACGUUUUGACAAAGGACAGAUAAAAUAUAAUACCACAAACAGGAAAUACUGGGCAUGUAAAAGUAAUGCAUCUUGGUAAUACCACCAUUAGCGUUUUCACUUGCAGCAUUGCAGAAGCAGAGGCUGAAAUACCUCAGCUGGCAUUGGCACUUCUGCCCUGGCUUUGCUGCAGCUUUACCAGACAGGUUCCCAUGGAUGAUGCUGAAUUCAGGAAAUUGGUGUUUCUCCUAUUUCUGGUGGCCUCAGUGGGGAUCUUCUGGAGAACUGAAAACAUGAGGAAGCUGGAAGCAUCCCUUGCCAGCCUGGACUGCACACUGCCUGUGCAGUGCUCAGCAGUUUUAGAGCAAUGGGUAUGUACAAGGUGCCAGAAGCCUCUUUCCAAAGGGACUCUUACAGCUGAAUGUGCUCAGUACAUACCUCUGGUCACCCCUUGGCCCUCAUCUUUGGGAUUUUAAGAAAGGUCAAGGAUAAUAGAGCUGCUGCAAGAUUUCUAGGGAUGUUCUUGAAACUGAAGCCAUCAGAGAUCCAUCAGCUAGUUUGCUCCUGCUUUGUGUGUGUGUGAAGGACACCCCACCAGCAGCAGGAGCAGCCAUCUGCUGUUGAAAGGAUUUGCAGUAUGCCAUGCUGGUAUUUCAACCCUGAGGUCCAGUCAGGAUGCACAGGAAUUUUCCCCAAAUGAGAACUGCUGAAUCUUGGAGGUAUCAUGUGAUCCAGGAACUUAAAAUUUCUUCCCCUUUGUGUCAUCAUUACUCUUCCCACAAAAUGUUUGAUUUUGUAAUAUAGGAGACAUCAUGCAUUAAUUGUUUGGUCCUGUUCAUAUUUAAUUUAUGUGAUCACCAGUGGGAUCUUCUUACCUGAAGCAUGGACAAUUGAAUAUUCCAGAUACAGCAAAACUGGAAAAUUAAGAUUUUGUGGAGUGUUUAUCUGAGUGUCAUUAGUUUGUUGUGAUACAUUUUGAUCUCAUGAAGCACAGUUGUGAUACUUCUUUCUGCAUAAAUGCAUAAAUCUGUAUGUAUUGGUAGCUGGUUUUAAAGACAGGUAUAAAUAGAAUUUUUAAGCAUGUUUGUUUUUCUUUCUACAUUUGCCUCAUGACAGUGUUUGCAUUGGCUUAACUGGUUCUGAUCAUACAGUGUGUAUGAGGUAAUAACCAGCAAAAUACUCCUGUGAGGAGGCAGCUGGGGAAUGGCCCCACAUAGAGAGAGGAGCAGCAAGUUAGUAAAAUACAUCCUUUAAAAGUACCAGAAUCUGUAGGUUGGUUGUGGGAAUUUGUGAACAAUGACAUAAAGAAACUGCUUGGAAACUGUGAGUUCAGGUAUCAGGCUGGAGUCAGAGCUAAGCAUUUCCAGUCUGCUGAUCCAGUCUUUGAAUCUGUUUUGCUUCCAGCAGAUGUAGAGGGCAUGUUUACACUAUCAGAUAACAUCCUCUGCCUAGUUUACACCUGGUCCCCUGCCUAAA
ensembl:lncRNA